rnacentral:misc_RNA from 1 species
GUACAAUGGCUCAACUUUUCGAUGUUGCGAAGGAAGAGUGCUCGGUCAUAUUCCUAUGGACAUAUUUGGCUGCUCUGGUAGCAAUUUCGAUAUGGCCGACAGUCUUCAUGUGGAUCUUGACUUAGAAUACUUUGGUACAUCAAGGAAGUGUUAAUACUCUUUAUCUGGUGUUGCAAGAUUUUGGAGGGAGAGAAUGGAAGAUGAUUUUUACUAUAUCGUAUCCAAUACAAAGCUGGUAGCCUUUAUGAUUCUUU